GUGUCAGCCGCCGCGGUAAUACGUAGGCAGCGAGCGUUGUUCGGAGUUACUGGGCGUAAAGGGUGUGUAGGCGGUUCUUUAAGUUUGGCGUGAAAUCUCCCGGCUCAACCGGGAGGGUGCGUCGAAUACUGAGGGACUAGAGUACGGGAGAGGAAAGUGGAAUUCCUGGUGUAGCGGUGAAAUGCGUAGAUAUCAGGAGGAACACCGGUGGUGUAGACGGCUUUCUGGACCGUAACUGACGCUGAGACACGAAAGCGUGGGUAGCAAACAGGAUUAGAAACCCCGGUAGUCC
rnacentral:rRNA from 1 species